CAGUCUCCGCCCCCUGCAGGCAACUGCCGCCGAGUGCUCUCCACGCCCGAACGCACGCACGCCCGCGCACCCGCGGCAAGACAGACCAGCUGCGAGAAAGCUAGCUCAGGAACCUCAGGUGGAGCACGAACGACAGAUGGAAUCGGCCAGGGCUGCGGCGGACCAGGCGGCGGGUCUGGACGUGGACAAGCUGACAUACGAGAUCUUCUCCAUCCUCGAGAGCAAGUUCCUGUUCGGCUACGACGACCCCAAGCUCUUCUCGCCGGCCUCCGCGGGGGCCUCGCCGUCGCCGGGAGCGGCGGCGGCGGCCGCCGCGUCGUCCAAGGUCUGCAUACUGUCGAUCGACGGCGGCGGCGGCGGCGGGCGGGCCGCCGACGGGCUGCUGGCCGGCGCCGCGCUGGUGCGGCUGGAGGCGUCGCUGCGGCGGCGCACGGGGGACGACGGCGCCAGGCUGGCCGACUUCUUCGACGUGGCCGCGGGGUCCGGCGCCGGCGGCGUGCUGGCGGCCAUGCUCGUCGCGCGGGGCGCCGACGGCCGCCCGCGCUUCUCCGCGGACGACGCGCUCGCGUUCCUCCUGCGCAGCCUCCGCCGCGGCUCGGGCGGCCUGGGCCUGGGCCUGGGCCUGCGCGCGCUGUUCAAGUCCCUCCGCCGCCCGGGCGGCGGCGCCGCGGCGGCGUUCCGCGGGGUGUUCGGCGACCUGACGCUGCGGGACACGGUGCGGCCGGUUCUGGUGCCGUGCUACGACCUGGGCACGGCCGCGCCCUUCCUCUUCUCGCGCGCCGACGCCGUGGAGACGCGCGCGUACGACUUCCGCCUCCGCGACGUGUGCGCCGCCACGUGCGCGGGGGACUCGGUGGAGGCGCGCUCCUGCGACGGGUCCACGCGCAUCGCCGCGGUCGGCGGCGGCGUGGCGCUCGCCAACCCCACGGCGGCCGCCAUCACGCACGUGCUCAACAACCGGCGCGACUUCCCGCUCGCCGCCGGCGUCGACGACCUGCUCGUCGUCUCCAUCGGCAGCGGCGAGGCCGACCAGCGGGGCGCCGCCUCCUCCGCGUCCCAGAUCGUCAGGAUCGCCGCCGAGGGCGUCGCCGACACGGUGGACCAGGCCGUGGCCAUGGCGUUCGGGCAUAACAGGACAACCAACUACAUCCGCAUACAGGCGACAGGGACGCCGCGAGGGGCGAGCCGUGGCGCCGCCGCGGAGGCGGAGGAGAUGCUGGCGCAGAGGAACGUGGAGUCGGUGCUGUUCCGCGGGAAGGUGGUGGCGGAGCAGACCAACGCGGAGAAGCUGGAGCGGCUGGCGCACGAGCUGGUCAAGGAGCGCGACCGGCGCAGGGCCAGCGCCAGCGCGAGCCCCGCCGCGGCGGCGCCUGCGCUCGUCAAGCACCACCGGCCGUCGGCGGCGCCGUCGUACUCGAGCCUCGUCAGCCACACCCUCGCGAGCAUCAUGUAGGCCGAGAGCCGACCCACAGCCGGCCGCCAGCAGCCAACGGAAUGGGCCCAACUGUGAGAGACCAGGUGUCUAGCCUGCUACUGCGCCAUGUGCAUUCUUCAGUUUUGUAUACGUACUAAAACCGCAGGGCAUGUUGUGUAGUGUAGCGUAAUCCGGCGUAUCCUCAGCUCGGCUGUAUGUUUGUAUGUAUCUCGAGAAAGAAAAACGGCUUGUGAGUUUGAGCAGCAGAGCUCUGAGCCUCUUUGCUCUGGACAAACCAACCAACAAACCAACCAACCCUGGAUCUGGAGAACUAUACAUAUACAGGCCACCAAGUAGCUGGUAUCCUAUAUAAUCAGGAGAGGAGUGACUGUCUCUGUUGUCUUUAACUUGAAGGCAGGUAAACAUUGCAAUGAUAGCUGAUGCGAAGCAUAAGUACUUAAUUAACAUUGUGCUUACAGUUUUUUGUGAAA